CAUAAUGGCCCGAAUUCACAAAGGUGGACUAAAGUUAUACCCGGGGUAUAAAACGCGUCAUUUGACGUCAUUUUAAUCCAUGGACUAAAGUUAGUACCUAGGUACUAACUUUUGCGAUUCACAAAGGUGGACUAAAGUUAUACCGGGGUAUAAAACGCGUCAUUUGACGUCACGAUUUAGUCAGCUCUUUGGGGUGGACUAAAUCGGUGGAUUAAAGUUAGUCCACGGUUUUAACCAAUCAGAGAGCAGCAUUGCGGUUGCAGAAAAGUUUGCUGCAAGAAAAAAGUUUUUUGGACGGAGACGAGAUUCGGUGUGAUCGGCUUAUCUAAAGCUUAAAAUUUCACGACUUCGACCGAGAUUAAACAGACCAUACUCGGCAGAUUGUGAGAUUGUGAUCAAUCAAGACGACAAACAUGGCUCACAUUUUUGAACUGCUGUGCCUUCUUGCAACAGAGUGAGAUUCAGCAACACAUAGGAAGACCACAGCAUGGAUUAAGAGACAGGAAGAAUCCAUUUGAAUGCUACAAGGAUGAACCUUUCAGAGUGGGCUACCAACAGAGAGAA